rnacentral:rRNA from 1 species
AGCGAACGCUGGCGGCAGGCCUAACACAUGCAAGUCGAGCGGCCGUAGCAAUACGGCAGCGGCAGACGGGAGAGUAACACGUGGGAACGCGCCCUUCGGUUCGGGAUAACUCAGGUAAACUUGGGCUAAUACCGGAUACGCCCUUAUGGGGAAAGAUUUAUUGCCGAAGGAACGGCCCGCGUCCGAUUAGCUUGUUGGUGAGGUAACGGCUCACCAAGGCGACGAUCGGUAGCUGGUCUGAGAGGAUGACCAGCCUCACUGGGACUGAGACACGGCCCAGACUCCUACGGGAGGCAGCAGUGGGGAAUAUUGGACAAUGGGCGCAAGCCUGAUCCAGCCAUGCCGCGUGGGUGAUGAAGGCCCUAGGGUUGUAAAGCCCUUUCAGCGGGGAAGAUAAUGACGGUACCCGCAGAAGAAGCCCCGGCUAACUUCGUGCCAGCAGCCGCAGUAAGAC